AAGAAGCCGAUGAGCACCAUGUUGGCCAUGGACACGUCGGCGCGCCGCAUGCCCAGCCCCCUCUUGGCGCGGUGCAGCAGGUACUUCACGAAGGUGUUGAUGCGCUCGCCCAGGCUCUGGAACAUGACGAGCGCAGCUGUCCAGGAUUCCUCACUGGAAGUGAUCUUCUCUGCUUUGAGUGGCACUGAGAAUGUUCAGCUUUGAACUCCAGAGCCAGUAUUACCACCAUCCCUACUCUGUCCCGUAGGUCCCCCAACUACAUAUGUACAGCUAAACACUGGCUUGGGGUGGCAGGGUGGGCACUGCUAUACCUUGUCAUGCUUCUUGCAAGCUUCCCCUCCACACUGCCAGCCACGCCCGUGGAGUAUGCCCAAAAUAUGUGGACGGCAAGGGGAUCUCAGCAGUUUAGUGACACACGUGACUGCCCAGAGCCUGCAGCCAAACAGCGUUCACCUUUGGCCGAGUAACUCAUCUUCUAGGGCCUCGGUCUCCUCAUCUGUAAGCUGGGAAUCAUGAUACACGGACCUUAUAGAGUUGCUGUGGGCAUUUUGAGGCGCUGGCAGACUUAAGAUGCUUAGGGCAUUGGCAUCAAUGAAUAUUAAUUAUAAGUGUGAAUAGUACGGGGGAACAUCAAGAUUAGAUGGUCUUUCAAGUUCCUUUCUGCACCGGCAGUCUGAUUUCGUGUUUCCCAAAGUUAAUUUCCUGAAACACCAGUUCCACAGACUGCUCGUAACUAUUGGAUGAGAAGAGGGUUGCUUGGUACGAUUCAAUGGGAGGAGUGCUGGACUUCACAGGCUUUGUCAUCACUGGAUUUAAGUGUAGACUUUAUCAGAGCCACACACGG